GAUGAACGCUGGCGGCGUGCUUAACACAUGCAAGUCGAACGAUGAAGCCCAGCUUGCUGGGUGGAUUAGUGGCGAACGGGUGAGUAACACGUGAGUAACCUGCCCUUAACUCUGGGAUAAGCCUGGGAAACUGGGUCUAAUACCGGAUAGGAGCGUCCACCGCAUGGUGGGUGUUGGAAAGAUUUAUCGGUUUUGGAUGGACUCGCGGCCUAUCAGCUUGUUGGUGAGGUAAUGGCUCACCAAGGCGACGACGGGUAGCCGGCCUGAGAGGGUGACCGGCCACACUGGGACCGAGACACGGCCCAGACUCCUACGGGAGGCAGCAGUGGGGAAUAUUGCACAAUGGGCGCAAGCCUGAUGCAGCGACGCCGCGUGAGGGAUGACGGCCUUCGGGUUGUAAACCUCUUUCAGUAGGGAAGAAGCGAAAGUGACGGUACCUGCAGAAGAAGCACCGGCUAACUACGUG
rnacentral:rRNA from 1 species